rnacentral:lncRNA from 1 species
AGGGAACAGUGGAGCUACGAAGAUACAAGAAAGAGCAUCCAUUUGCACAGAUGGCAGGUUCAGACAAUAUAAUAGCAUUCACAACGACAAGAUACAAGGAUCAUCCAUUGAUUGUCCGAGGACCUGGUGCUGGUGCUCAAGUCACGGCUGGUGGUAUAUUCAGCGACAUGUUAAGGCUCGCAUCGUAUCUAGGUGCACCGUCUUAACAGGUUACGAAAAUGAUCAGUUUUGCUCAUCUCCGUAUUAAAAGUAUCAGCUACGAUUCUACGGAUCAUUAACAUUUUGCUUGGUCAUUUCUACACUUAUUCGUAGCUGAUCUUUGUUGUUUUUUUUGUGGUAAACAUGUACAAUAGCAACUAGUUUUUUUGGAUUUGAUGUUCUUUGUUUGAUGCAGUAAUAAACGAUUUGCUAUUUAAUAAAACGUGCAUGGAGAAUGUUACCCGCACAUUCUAAUGUACUAGUGUUCGGUGGGGAAAAAUAUUAAUUUUUGAAAUUUAAAAUCAAUAUUGAACAUGUAUUAAAGAUAAAAUAUAAUGGGUUAAGAAUAUACUAACACUACAUAUCUUAAUUAGCUCUACUAUUCUUAGGUGUCGAAAGACAUAAAUUAUGGAUAAUAUAUCUAGAAAACCAUAACAAUUUACAUUAGGUAAUAAACUAAAAUACUUAUAUUUACAAUAUUACCUAUCGUUCAAUCUCGUCCUACCAGCACCAGCCAUAUGUCAUCUUCACGUUCAUUUAUUUAAUGGCAGCAUAAGCUGCCUUCAUUUUUCCCUAUGACUAUAAAUUUAUAAUAAACAAAAAAACUCAAUAGCAAUAUAACAACGGAAAGAAAAAUGGUAAACAAUUCCUUUAGUAUUUCCGUGCAUGGUAUGAUUUCUCGAACUCUAUUUGUGUAACCUUAUUGUUCCUUUGUCUUCCUGUGAUUAAUCCAUAAAAAACUUUAAGAUAGAUCAUACAAAAAGAAUAAGAUAGUAUUAUUCCGAGAAGUGAAAGAAAAAUGGUAAACAAUUCCUUUAGUAUUUCCGUGCAUGGUAUGAUUUCUUGAACUCUAUUUGUGCAACUUUAUUGUUCAUUUGUCUUCCUGUGAUUAAUCCAUAAAAAAUUUUAAGAUGGAUCAUACAAAAAGAAUAAGAUAGUAUUAUUCUGAAAAGAAGAGAAAAGUGAAUUUGAAUUAAAAGUUGUCGGUUAUUCAAAAAAAAGAAUUAAAAGUUUUCAAAAAGCUAUGUUAAUAUUUGUUGCUGCACUCAAAACCCAGAAAAAUGAUGAAGAGACGGAACCAUUAAGAAUAAGAGAAAGAGAGAGUAGAUAUAUAAACGAUAAAAUAAUUUGAAAUCGUGCCAUGAAAUUAGGAAUCUGAGAAAUUCAAGGGAUUUACUUACAGUUUCAGGAAAUUAUAGAUCGUGGAGUUAUUUUUGCUUACAGAAAGUUUAUUUAUAAUUUUAAAAUUUUGCAAUUGCCUUAGAUUUUACGAUGUCGAUAACUAAUUUUUUUAUUGUUUUUUGAAGAGCAUAAAUUAUGUGUCAUUAAUCAACGUAGCUUAAAUUAUGAGAAAAAUUAGGAAGUGGUUAGUUAAUUGUUUUUUUAAUUGUUUUUUAUAAUUUUCCACAUGUCAAUAUCUGAUUCGCCAGGCGACUUACGCUUUAGUAUAUAAGGGAUACUGAUAUACUUAUUGAAAAGAUACAAUACCAUUCGUGCGUUACUGAAGCUUAUUUGCAACCUAUACAUUCUGGAGUUGGUAAGAUUUCUUUUAACAUAACAUAAUCACAAGCAUCUGAACGGUUAAAUCCAAUCCUUGCUAGUCGUUCUCCUCCUAUCUGUCAUAGCCUCAUAGGUGUGCAACCUUAGUACCUUACUGUUAGGAUAAACUUGAAGUUAGCUUGAGUUGCAAGCUAUCCUAAUCACAUAAGGAUAUGAUUUACUAAAGUGAUUAGGAAAUAUAUGAUUUGUGUUUAUCUUAUAGGAGUAGAAGUUUCCUAAGUUCUAUAUAAGAGCAUACCGAUAUGUGGUUAAUACCUAUGAGUUUAUGAGUGAUUGUGAUUGAAGGUUUUGAGUGAGUUUUAUCCUUUGAGUGAUUAAUUAGAAUCUGAUACUUAUUAAACGUGUUCUUGAGUUUGUGAUCUUGCAAAACCCUGAGACAAUAUUUGGUAUCAGAGCCAUACAAAGAUUACUUAGAAAUUGAAACUACACACACACACAACCAUGGGCGAUGUGAAGGAAGAAUCCGCGAUGAGUAAAGAUGCUAGACCCUCCUCUGUCAAAUUUCUGAUGCUAUCUUCUUCAAAUUACACCGUAUGGUCCAUGAGAAUGAAGAUAGCACUUAAAGUUUGUAAAGUUUGGGAAACAAUCGAUCCUGGAAACAAAGAUGAAGAGAAAAACAAUAUGGCUAUUGCGUUUCUGUUUCAGUCUAUCACUAAAAGAAAACACAUGUUUAACGACGAAAAUUAACGAGGAAAAACAAUCCUCGUAAAUUUGCGUCGAGUUUACGACGAAUUUACGUGAAAAACUAAAGUCAUCGUUAUUUCCUCGUAACGUAACGACAAAACUGUUUCGUCGUAAAGUGGAUGUAAUUUUACGAGUAUUUUACGAGGAAAAACUAUUUCCUCGUAAAUACGACGUAAACUUUGCGUGGUAUUUACGAGGGAAUAGUUUACGUGUAUUUAGCGAGGAAAUUUUUGAAUCCACCAACUUUAUAGGUGUUACACGUUUUUUUUGCCCACCUAAUUAAUUUUCGUCGUAAAUUCAUAACAAAAUUACAACUACCAGAUUCGAAUUUUCCUAUAAAUAUGGAUGUUUGAACAUCAUUUUAAACACACCAACAACAAAAAACGUGAAAGAAAAAAAAUGGCUGGCUCCGGGACUAUUUACGAGUUGCGGAAGUGGAUGUAUAUGCAUAGAGAUGCUAACGGGAGAGUGACGAAAGAAUACCUUGCGGGUCUGGAGACAUUUAUGCAUCAAGCAGAUUCAACACCGCUCGCCCAAGAAAGUGGUAAGAUGUUCUGUCCUUGUCGGAAAUGCAACAAUUCGAAACUGGCAAACCGUGAAAAUGUUUGGAAGCAUUUAAUAAAUAGAGGUUUCACGGCAAAUUACUAUAUCUGGAGAAGGUUUUAAUUAUGAUCAGAAUGAAGCUAGUAGUAGUAAUAGCAAUUUUCAGGAAAAAGAACCGGUUGAUCAUCAUUUGCAUAAUGAACAUAGUUACCAUCAGGAGGAGAUGGUAGAUUAUGAUAGGGUUCAUGAUAUGGUAGCUGAUGCAUUCAUAGCUCAUGAUGAAAAUGAAGAACCUAAUAUAGAUGCAAAAAAGUUUUACGAAAUGUUAAACGCGACGAAGAAACCACUUUACAGUGGUUGUAGAGAAGGUCUCUCUAAAUUGUCGUUAGCUGCUAGAAUGAUAAAUAUUAAAACUGAUCACAAUCUACCUGAAAGUUGCAUGAACGAAUGGGCGGACUUGUUUAAAGAGUAUUUGCCGGAAGACAAUGUGUCUGCUGAUUCUUAUUAUGAGAUUCAGAAACUGGUUUAUAGUCUUGGGUUGCCUUCGGAGAUGAUAGAUGUUUGCAUCGACAACUGCAUGAUCUAUUGGGGAGAUGAUGAGAAGCUAGAAGAAUGUCGAUUCUGCAAGAAGCCACUAUUCAAGCCGCAAGGACGGGGACGUAAUAGGGUACCGUACCAAAGGAUGUGGUAACUACCAAUUACAGACAGAUUGAAAAGAUUGUAUCAAUCAGAGCAGACUGCUGGAAAGAUGAGGUGGCAUGCCGAGCAUACUCAGACGGAUGGUGAGAUGACUCAUCCAUCAGAUGCAAGAGCCUGGAAACAUUUCAACAAAGUACAUCCAGAUUUCGCUAACAAUAUCCGGAAUGUGUAUCUCGGAUUAUGCACAGAUGGAUUUAGUCCGUUCGGAAUGUCAGGGAGACAAUAUUCAUUGUGGCCAGUCUUUCUUACUCCAUACAACCUGCCACCAGAGAUGUGCAUGCAACGGGAGUUACUAUUCUUGACCAUAUUAAUAACUUGUCCGAACCAUCCAAAAAGGUCCCUGGAUGUUUUCCUACAACCACUGAUAAAAGAGUUGAAGGAUUUGUGGUCAACAGGGGUGAGGACGUAUGACUGUUCAACGAAGACGAAUUUUAUGAUGCGAGCGAUGCUUUUGUGGACCAUAAGUGAUUUCCCUGGCUAUGGGAUGUUGUCUGGAUGGACUACACAUGGGAGAUUAGCUUGUCCAUAUUGUAAUGGAACGACAAAUGCGUUUCAACUGAAGAAUGGUAGGAAGACAAGUUGGAUUGUCACCGUCAAUUUCUUCCCAUUGGCCAUCCUUACCGAAGAAACAAGAAUUUGUUUAGGCACAAAAGGGUUGUGAGAGACACUCCUCCUCCAUAUCUAACUGGAGAACAAAUUGAAGCGCAAAUCGACUACUACGGUGCUAAUGAAACAGUUCGUUGGGGUGGUAAUUGGCAUGUCCCUCGUAAUAUGCCAGAUUCUUACGGUGUUCAUCACAACUGGCACAAGAAGAGUAUAUUUUGGGAGUUGCCAUAUUGGAAGGAUCUUCUUCUGCGCCACAACCUCGAUGUGAUGCAUAUAGAGAAGAAUUUCUUUGAGAACAUCAUGAAUACAAUAUUGAAUGUCCCAGGGAAGACAAAAGACAACAUAAAAUCGAGGUUGGACGUGCCGGAUAUUUGCUCAAGAAGCGAGUUACAUAUUAAAAGCAAUGGACAAGUUCCCGUUCCGAUAUUCAGAUUAUCUUCAGAAAAAAAGUCGGUGUUGUUUAACUGGGUGGCAUCAGAAGUGAAGUUCCCCGAUGGGUAUGUUUCGAAUCUCUCUAGAUGUGUUGAAAAGGGUCAAAAGUUCUCCGGGAUGAAGAGUCAUGAUUGUCAUGUAUUUAUGCAACGACUACUGCCCUUUGCAUUUGCGGAGCUACUUCCAACAAACGUACAUGAAGCACUUGCAGGUACGUAGUGUAUUAUAUCACAAUAAUUUACAAAAUAAUAUAUGACUAACAAUGUGUUUAAUUUUUUUUUGAAUAUAAAAGGCAUUGGAGCAUUUUUCAGGGAUCUGAGCACACGCACUCUUAAAGAAGAAGUUGUGGAACAGCUUCAGGAGAACAUUCCCAUCUUAUUGUGCAACUUGGAGAAGAUAUUUCCUCCCGGAUUUUUUGACGUCAUGGAGCAUCUAGCUGUCCACCUCCCAUAUGAGGCAUUGCUUCGUGGACCUGUACAUUACGGAUGGAUGUAUCAGUAUGAGCGAGCCAUGAAAUAUUUGAAGGGAAAAGCAAAGAACCUCGCCAAAGUUGAAGGUUCUAUAAAUGCUGGAAGUUUGACAGAAGAAGUUUCUCACUUCACAUCGUACUACUUUGCGUCAAAAGUACGUACACGGAGAAGAGCUCCAAGAAGAUAUGAUGAUGGUGGUGUUGCGCCAACAUAUGCAGUUGCUGGUGUUCCAGACAUCUUUAGCCAGAUUGGGCGACUCGGUGGGAAGUCUAAAGAGGUUUGGUGGUCGAGUGAAGAAGACGCUCAUAGUGCACACACCUAUAUUCUACUCAAUUGCGAAGAUCCAUUGAUGCGUUAUUUUGAAAGGUAACAUAUAUUGACACUUCGAAACACAUAUAAGUAUAAUUAAUUGUAUAAUUGCGAGAGAUUCAUUCAUAUAAAAUGUGAUUUUACAGCCUAUUUGUUUCUCAAGUAGAAGAAACAUUUCCAGGUAUAUCCACAAGUGACGUAGACAAAAGGAAAGAUCAACACUUCAUUAAGUGGUUGCGGAAUCAGGUAUUAACUAAAACUUUUUUUUCAUACAUUAUCUGUAUUUCAUUAACAUUCUCUUUAUUUUUGCAGGUUGAUUAUGACGACGACGAUGCAGAUUAUCUUAAGUGGUUACACGAAGUAAUUCAAUCUCCACUUGUAAAGGUCACCACAUCACAGAUGUAUUUCACACGAGGCUAUACUUUUCAUACAUAUGACUAUGGUAGACAGCGGGCGACCAAUAACUAUGGAAUAUGUGUGAAAGGGGAAACAGAUUUCUAUGGGAUCUUGACGGAGAUUAUUGAAGUCGAAUUUCCAGGGAUACUGAAGCUGAAAUGCGUCCUUUUCAAAUGUGAAUGGUUCGACCCCGUCGUCAACAGAGGUGUUCGGUCUAACAAAUUCGGUGUAGUUGAUGUCAACGGUGGACGAAGGUACAACAAAUUCGAGCCUUUCAUCUUAGCUUCACAAGCAGACCAAGUUAGCUUCCUUCCAUACUCUCGGAUGAGAGAUUUAGGUAUAAAUUGGUUAGCAGUGAUCAAAGUUACACCUCGAGGACGAAUCAUCAGUGGAGAAGAACCACCAUUGCAAGAAGAACAGAUAAAUGAAGUUGAGGAACCUGAACAAGAAAUUGAUGACAUCCUUCUCAUUGAUCCGCAUAAUCACGAGUACGAAGAUCUUACCGAUGAUGCCACAGACGAAGCUGUUGAAGACGAGUUUAAUGAAAAUGAUGAUGUUUCUAGUGAUGACGAGAAUGUCGAUGUAUCCGAUUGAUGUAUUUGUUUUAUGAAUAAGAUGAGGGAGUUUGUUUUAUGAAUAAGAUAAUGUGGGGUUUGUUUUAUGAAUAAGGUAAUGCCGGGAGUUUGUUUUAUGAAUAAGCAAAUGUGGGAAUUGUGGAUUGGAAUGGAAAUAAAGAUGGGGUUUGGAGUAUAUGAAGUAGGAAAUAAGGAAUAUGGGAUUUGGGGUUUCGGAUUCAAGGGAUUUAAACAUAACACUCGUUAAUUCCACGUAACAAAAAUCGUCGUAAUGGACUCGUAGGUCAACGAGGAAAUAACGACGAAAUAUAAAAAUAAAGAACGCGGGACUCGUUAAUUCCACGUAGGACAAAAUCGUCGUAAAUACCACGUAGGAUGAAUUCGUCGUAAAAACCACGUAGGAUGAAAUCGUCGUAAAUAAAACGUAAGACAACGAGGAAAUAACGACGAAACCUAAAAAUAAAGAUGGGGUUUGGAAUAUAUGAAGUAGAAAAUAAGGAAUAUGGGGUUUGGGGUUUGGGGUUUGGGGUUUCGGGUUUUUGGUUUCGGGUUUCGGGGUUUGGGGUUUGGGGUUCAGGGUUUAGGGGUUCGGAGUUUGGGGUUUCGGGUUUAGGGGUUCGGGGUUUCGGGUUUCGGGUUUUGGAUUUCGGGUUUGGGGUUUCGGGUUUUGGAUUUCGGGUUUCGGGUUUCGGGUUUCGGGUUUGGUGUUUCGAGUUUGGGGUUUCGGGUUUAGAGGUUCGGGGUUUGGGGUUUCGGGUUUUGGAUUUCGGGUUUCGGGUUUCGUGUUUCGGGUUUGGGGUUCUAGGGAUUUAACCAUAACACUCGUUAACAAUAACGACGAAACUUAAAAUUAAAUAUGGGGUUUGGAAUAUAUGAAGUAGAAAAUUAAAGAUGGGGGUUUGGGUUUCGGGUUUCGGGUUUGGGCUUUCGGGUUUUGGGUUUGGGGGUUGGGGUUUCGGGUUUCGGGUAUGAGGUUUCGGGUUUCGGGUUUCGGGUUUCGGGUUCCGGGGUUGGGGUUUCGGGUUUCGGGUUUCGGGUUUGGGCUUUCGGUUUUCGGGUUUCGUGUUUGGGCUUUCGGGUUUCAGGUUUGGGGGUUGGGGUUUAGGAAUAACGACGAAACUUAAAAUUAAAUAUGGGGUUUGGAAUAUAUGAAGUAGAAAAUUAAAGAUGGGGGUUUGGGUUUCGGGUUUCGGGUUUGGGCUUUCGGGUUUCGGGUUUCGUGUUUGGGCUUUCGGGUUUCAGGUUUGGGGGUUGGGGUUUAGGAAUAACGACGAAACUUAAAAUUAAAUAUGGGGUUUGGAAUAUAUGAAGUAGAAAAUUAAAGAUGGGGGUUUGGGUUUCGGGUUUCGGGUUUGGGCUUUCGGGUUUCGGGUUUGGGGGUUGGGGUUUGGGGUUUCGGGUAUGGGGUUUCGGGUUUCGGGUUUCGGGUAUGGGAUUUCGGGUUUCGGGUUUCGGGUAUGGGGUUUCGGGUUUCGGGUUUCGGACUCUAGGGAUUUAAACAUAACACUCGUUAAUUCCACGUAGGAUGAAAUCGUCGUAAAUACCACGUAAGCAUAAAUCGUCGUAAAGACCACGUAACCAGAAAUCGUCGUAAAGACCACGUAAGCAGAAAUCGUCGUAAAGACCACGUAAAAAGAUUUAAACAUAAAACACGUUAAUUCCACGUAAGCAUAAAUCGUCGUAAAUACCUCGUAGUGUAAAAACUAGAAAAAAGGGAAAAAGAUCAAAAUACCAGAAUAACAUGUGGCAAGACUUCCAGCAAUUAUAAUACGUAAGUCUCGCCCACAUGAAUUCUAAUAUCUUAUCCUUUUCCUAUUUUUUUCAAAUAUUUAUAAUUUGAAUAUGAUUUUGCUGAGGAAUGUGAUUUCAGAUAGGUGUGUGAUUUGGGAGUUUAUGUGUGGUUUGAGAAUGAGAGUUGUGGGUAUAUUUAUAGGAAAGCAAGCCUCGUUAAUUCCACGUAGGCAAAAUCGUCGUUAAUACCUCGUAAACAAAAACACGGGCCUUUGUGAUUCCUCGCAAUUUCCUCGUAAAAAAAAACACGGGCCUUUGUAACUGCUCGCUAUUUCGUCGUAAACUUACGACGAAUUUGCGACGAUAUGUAAUCUUAUAUAUACACCCGAGCGCUCACUCUUUCUUUCCUCUCUACUUCCUCUCUACUUCCUCUCCAUUUCGUAGCAAUGGUAAGCCUCUCUGAUUCCUCUCUAAUUUGGUUAGUUUAGGAUAGAUUAGGUGGUUAGUAUAGGGAAUUUAGAUAGGUUUGCGGAUUUUAUGUUAUUUAGUGUUGAUUAGGUGGAUAAUGUUGGAAAAUAUAUUGUUGAUGUUAAUUUUAAAAAUUUCAUUUUUUUUCCAGGUUCGAAAAGGAAGACUUACUGCCCAUUACAGAGAGAUCUUCGGUGAGCCGGGUAGUCGUUUAGACCCGGCCUCUUCUUCCGCUCCCAGUUCUUCGGGCCAGGAGACUGUCCCCGAGACUCAGUACACUCAGAGAGUCUCUGGGUCUACUUCUUCUAGUGCACCAUCGGCUCCUCAUGUGCCUCCUCCGAUGCCUCCUCCUGUGCCUCCUCCGAUGGCACCUCCGAUGGUCGCCGAUAUUCAUCCUGAUCUGAUGGUGCCUCCGAGUGCUCCUUACUCGCAGUACACUGUAGAGGACAUUCUCAGUCUGCCAGGCAGAGAAGGUUUACCAGUCAUCGACCCAGACCGACCGGACGGAACGUUGUGGUAUGUUGCAUUAAUUUUUUUUUAAUUCGUUUAAAUUUCUUUUAUAACAUUAAAAAAUAAUUUAUAUUUUAAAUUUGUAUUUUCCGGUUGGGGGGUUGACGGAUGUCUUGCAUCGGACGUAACCGACACGAUCAAGGGUUACUUCUCCAUGGCACAUCCAAACUGGAGUAAGACGCCUCACUACGUCAGAAAGACGUGGUUCAAAAUUUACGCUGUAAGUUUCUAUUAAUUAAUUAUAUAUACUUUAAUUUUUUCAUGAUUUAUAUAUAUACUUUCUAAAAAACUAAUUGUUAAUUUAUUUUUUCCAACAGCAAAAAUAUAAUUGGGCCUUGGGGAUCACUGAGAGGGUGAGGAAGAAGUUUAACGCGAAGGCGAAAGUUCGCUUGUUGGACACGGUCUCCAACUGGAAGGGUGACUGGAUCGUGAAGGGGUAUGAGCGUGGCAAACCCGCUGAGCUCACCACGGAUGUGUGGGAUGGCCUCAUCCGUUAUUGGCGCCUUCCUGAUUCCAUUAGAAUCGCCCAGGCUUGCUCUAACUCCCGUAACACGGUCGAUGAGCACGGGAACGGGCCGAUGCUUCACACUACGGGCCAAAAACCCCACGCCGGUGUCCGUUUGGAAAUGGUAAUUAAAUAUUUUAUUAAAUAAUUUUUUUAAUAAAUAUAUUAAUUUAUUCUAACUUUCUUAACUGUUUUUUAGGCCAAAGAGACGGGACAUCUCCCGUCUCUUAUGGAACUUUACGAGAGGACCCACAAGAACAAGGCGGGCGUAUUUGUAGAUGGCAAGUCCGAGCAAAUCUACAACGACGUAGUUGCUCGGGUUGAAGACCGCCAGACUCAGCUGACCCAGCAGUCUACCGACGGAUUACCCGUCACCUUAUCCACACUUGAAGUGGAUAAGAUUUACGAGGAGGUAAAUUUUCAAAAAAAUUAAUUUUUAAUUAUUCAUUUAAUUUAACUUUAAAUAUUUACUUACAAUAUUUAUUUUUUUGUUUUUAAGGUUGUCCCUAAAAAAAAGGGACGGACAUUGGGUAUUGGUUCCGUCAACGAUGUUCCGAGAGCGACAUCGUCUUAUGGUCAGCGACGGGAUGAUGAAGUCACGGAGCUGCGUAGAGAGUCCGCUCAGCUGCGUAACGAGUUGACCGCGACAAAAUCUCGUAUGGGUGGAGUCGAGGGCUUCUUAGACGUUAUUGCGGCCACAAAUCCGGAAUGGGAGUCCAUGUUGAGGAACAUGCGACAACAACAUCCCAUUCAUGGCGAGUCAUCCGGCGACGUACAUAACGAGGCGGAUGUUACGAGGAGGAGUGAUGAAUUCUACCGGGCGAUGAACGACCCUUAGUUUUUUUUUGUUGUUGUAUUAUAUAAAUUCAAAACUUAUUUAUUUAUAAAAUAUUUUCAUAUGAAUUUAUUUUUAUUUUGAAUUUUAAUUUAUUAUUAAAUUAAAUAAUUUUAAUUAUUUUUUUAUUAUAUUUUAAAAUUCUGUAAAAUAAUAAAAACGAAGUAAAUUCGUAGCUAAUGUACGACCUCUUUACGUGGAAAUCUUACGAGGAAAUGACGAGAAACAGUUUACGAGUAUUUUACGAGGAAGUAUUUACGAGGAAAUAACGAGGAAAUGUUUACGACCAUUUUACGAGGAAAUCAUUUCGUGGUUGUUACGUGUAUUUUGCGAGGAAAAUCUUUCAAGGUAUUUACGUGUAGAUUACGAGGAACUGUUUUCGAGUUAUUUACGAGGAAUUGUAGCGACGUCCUUACGAGGAAUUGUAGCGACGUCUUUACGACGAAUCGUUUUACUUCGUCUUUACGACGAAAUAUAUUCCUCGCUAAGUUACGACGAAUUAGCGAGGAAAUAUGUGUUACGACAGACGUGUAACGAGCAAACGCGUUUCCUCGCUAAUUCGUCGUAAAGCCUCUUUUACGACGAAAUAACGAGGAAAACCGCCCUCGUUAAGAUUAUGUUUUCUUGUAGUGUAUACCCGAAGCAUUGAUCCUACAAUUAGGUGACAUAGACACGGCUAAGGGAGUAUGGGAUGCAAUAAAAACGCGUCAUGUUGGAGCUGAGAGAGUUAAAGAAGCUAGGUUACAAACCCUAAUGGCAGAAUUUGAUAGAUUAAAGAUGAAAGAUGGAGAUACAAUUGAUAUUUUUGUUGGGAGACUAUCAGAGAUCUCGUCAAAAUCUGCUUCGUUGGGGGAGAUGAUAGAAGAACCUAAAUUGGUAAAGAAGUUUUUGAAGAGCUUACCAAGGAAGAAGUAUAUUCAUAUAGUUGCUUCCCUUGAACAAGUUCUCGAUCUAAACAAAACGACGUUUGAGGAUAUGGUUGGGAGAUUGAAAGCGUAUGAAGAAAGAAUUUGUGAGGAAGAAGAUGAGCAGUCUGAUGAACAAGGCAAACUAAUGUAUGCCAAUUCUGAAGGUCAACAAACUGGUUACGGUAACUCUAGUGGAGCUAGAGGAAGAGGACGAGGAGGACGUUCUGGCUGGAGAGGAAGAGGCCGCGGCAGGUAUGGGAACUUUCAUAGCCAAAGAGAUGCGUACAAGACAGGACAAGGACGUGAUCUCUCCCACAUCACAUGUUUCAACUGUGAUAAACAAGGGCACUACGCGUCUGAAUGUCCUGAUAAACAGGGACUUAAGCUUCAAGAGACAGUUGAAGCUAAAAUAGAGGAAACACAAGAGGCUGACGAGUUAAUGAUGCAUGAGGUUGUCUAUCUCAAUGAAAAGAAAGUCAAUCCAAGCGUGUUUGAUACUAACCUUGAUGCUAGGAACGUAUGGUAUCUAGAUAAUGGAGCUAGUAACCAUAUGAGCGGUAACAGGAUGUUCUUUGUUAAAAGUGCGGUUUGGAGAUGAUUCUCGUAUUGACAUAAGAGGAAAAUGAUCAAUUCAGUUCGUGUUCAAAGGAGGUGAGAAAAAGAUAUUAGGUAACAUGUAUUAUAUUCCGGGACUCAAAAGCAAUAUAGUGAGCUUGGGUCAAGCCACUGAAGCUGGGUGUGAAGUUCAAAUGAAAGAAGAUCAACUUACUAUAUAUGAUCGUGUUGGAAAGGUGAUGACAAGGAGAACUAGAACGAAGAAUCGGCUAUACAAAGUCACUCUCGAAGUAGACAGUCAAGACUGCCUCCAAAUCACAGCAAAGAGUGAAUCAUCAACCUGGCACGCACGCCUUGGACACAUCAACACUGGUACGAUGAAAGCAAUGAUCAAUACAGAGCGAGUAAUUGGCAUACCAGCACUCACGGUUGAAAAAGAAACAUGUAUGUCUGGUCUGCUUGGAAAACAAACACGAAAGUCCUUUCCUCAAACAACUAUGUACCGAGCCACACGACCUCUCAAACUAGUCCAUGGCGAUCUUUGCGGCCCUAUCACACCACCAACUCAUGCGCACAAGAGAUAUGUUUUUGUACUAAUCGAUGACUACUCCCGGUAUAUGUGGACCAUAUUGCUACAAGAAAAAAAUGAAGCGUUUGAGAAGUUUAAAAACUUCAAGGUACUGGCAGAACAAGAAACAAAGUCUGAGUUGAGAACAUUUCGGACAUACAGAGGUGGAGAGUUCUGUUCGAAUGAGUUUGUUGCGUUUUGUGAGAAGAAUGGUGUUAACAGACACUUGACGGCACUGUAUUCACCCCAACAGAACGGGGUUGCAGAGACGAAACAGAACACUCCUAGAGAUGACUAGAAGUAUACUACAACACAUGAAGGUACCAAAUCUCUUGUGGGGCGAGGCUGUUAGACAUUCUACACACCUGAUCAAUCAUAUCUCAACAAAGACACUAGAUGGCAAGACACCAUAUGAAGCCUUGCGAAGCAAGACACCUAACAUCGCUCACCUUAAGGUAUUUGGAUGCAUCUGUUAUGCUAAAACCAAUAAGAUAGGAUAGAAGAAGCUUGACGAUAGGUCUAGGAUCCUUGUUCAUCUUGGAACAGAACCAGGCUCCAAAGCCUAUCGGCUACUCGAUCCUACCAAGGAAAGGAUAGUAGUCAGUCGUGAUGUUGUUUUUGAUGAAAAUAAAGGAUGGAACUGGACUAAUGGAGAGUCAGCUCAAGAUGACGACGGUGAUACCUUCACGUUUGAGGUGAAAGGAACAAUUGACGGAACAGAGAGCAAGGAAACUGAUGGGAUAACUCAACCAGAGAUCGAGUCAGAGACAGAUGAUCGUGGAGAUGAAGAAGAUGAUGAAGAUAACAGUAGUGACAAUCAAGAUGAGCAGCCAUGCCUAAGAAGAUCAUCAAGAACGAGCACCAAACCUGUGUAUCUCGACGAUUACGUUCUUAUGGCUGAAGCGGAAUGUGAGCGUCUCUUAUCUAUAGUGAAUGAUGAACCUUGGGACUUCAAUGAAGCCAAGGAACUAAAAGUAUGGAUUGAUGCCUGUGAAGAUGAGAUUUUCAGUAUAGAGAAGAACAACACAUGGGAACUUGUUGAUCUACCUGUGGGAGUAAAGCCUAUUGGCUUGAAGUGGGUAUUUAAGAUUAAAAGUAGCGCAGAUGGUACUAUCAUUAAGUAUAAAGCACGACUUGUUGCCAAAGGCUAUGUCCAGAAGCAAGGAGUUGAUUAUGAUGAAGUCUUCGCACCAGUGGCUCGCAUUGAAACCAUUCGUUUAGUGAUUGCUCUUGCAGCCUCAAAAGGAUGGGAGAUGCACCAUCUCGAUGUUAAGACUGCAUUCCUUCAUGGAGAAUUAAGAGAAGAAGUGUUUGUCACUCAGCCAGAAGGUUUUAAGGUUGCAGGUAAGGAGAAUAAAGUCUACAAGCUAAAGAAAGCUCUCUACGGAUUAAAGCAAGCCACCCGGGCCUGGAAUGUCAAGCUUAAUGCGAUCCUGCGUGAGUUCAAGUUUCAGAGAUGUUCAAAAGAGCCGUCUUUAUAUAGGAAGGAAGAAAAGGGUGGAACGCUUGUUGUUGUGGUCUAUGUGGAUGAUCUACUAGUCACGGGAUCAUCUUUGCAUUUGAUUCACCAAUUUAAGAAAGAGAUGGCGUCUAAGUUUGAGAUGAGUGAUCUCGGGAAAUUAACGUACUACUUAGGAAUUGAAGUGUGUCAAAGUCAAGAAGGCUUUACCUUGAAACAAGAAAGAUAUGCUCGCAAGAUCCUUGAAGAAUGUGGAAUGGAUACCUGCAACUCGGCGUCUAUACCUAUGGACUUUAACGUGAAGCUGUCAAGAUCAAUUGAAGAGAGGAGUAUUAACGAAAGAGACUAUAGAAGAAGCAUUGGGUGUCUGCGUUGCUUGCUUCACACGCGUCCAGACCUGUCCUUCAGUGUCGGAGUACUAAGUAGGUACAUGGACGAUCCUAAGGAAUCACACGGUGCUGCUCUUAAACAAGUGAUGCGGUAUCUUCGGGGAACUGUGUCUCUUGGUCUUGUGUUCGAACAGUCCACGAGCUUGGAACUAAUAGGUUUCAGUGAUAGCUCUCACAACGUUGACAAUGAUGAUGGUAAAAGUACUAUAGGACAUGUGUUCUAUCUUAAUAGAAGUUCGAUAACAUGGUGCUCGUGCAAGCAAGAGAUUGUGGCUCUAUCAUCUUGUGAAGCCGAGUUUAUGGCGGCGACAGAGGCAGCAAAACAGGGAAUAUGGCUUCAGGAACUUUUGGGUGAAGUUAUUGGACAACCGAGUAAAAGAGUAGUCAUAAACGUCGACAACAAGUCUGCAAUAGCUCUUACUAAGAAUCCAAUGUUUCAUGGACGAAGCAAACAUAUUCAUAGAAGGUUCCAUUUUAUUCGUGAGUGUGUUGAGAAUGAUCUAGUGGAAGUCAAGCAUGUUCCUGGGAGUGAACAACGAGCAGACAUAUUGACAAAGUCUCUUGGAAGAAUCAAGUUUGCUGAGAUGAGGAAGAUGAUUGGUGUUCAAAUGGUGAGUGAAGAUAACUUCAAGUUUAAGGGGGAGAAUGUUGGGAUAAACUUGAAGUUAGCUUGAGUUGCAAGCUAUCCUAAUCACAUAAGGAUAUGAUUUACUAAAGUGAUUAGGAAAUAUAUGAUUUGUGUUUAUCUUAUAGGAGUAGGAGUUUCCUAAGUUCUAUAUAAGAGGAUACCGAUAUGUGGUUAAUACCUAUGAGUUUAUGAGUGAUUGUGAUUGAAGAUUUUGAGUGAGUUUUAUCCUUUGAGUGAUUAAUAAGAAUCUGAUACUUAUUAAACGUGUUCUUGAGUCUGUGAUCUUGCAAAACCCUGAGACAAUACUCACCGCAAUUGGCGAACCUACAUUGCUCAAGAAGGUGGCAAGUGCCCCCACAAAAUUUUCAAAGUUUGUUAAAUAUGUUUAAACUUUGAUUAUUUUUUUUAGUAAAUAACAUUUUUAUCUAUACUUUUUAAGUUUAUGUUAGAUUUGACCCCACAAGAAAAUAAUUCUACAUUCGCCACUGCUUACUGCCAUAAACAAACAGAUAUUGUAAAGAAACUCAUUAAUCAAAUCUUUAUCUUUUAAGAUCAAUGUCUUGCAAGUAAAAUGUAUAUCAUCAACCCGGUAGAUAUUUUUCCAAUAGAGCUAAAACACCACUAAAUCCACCAGUAUAACCAUAAUUUAUAUUAUCGUAACCUACAAGCUCCGAACUUUAUAUUAUUUAGUUUUCUUCAUUUUUGAAUUUUUUUCUUGACUUGUCCAGAGAGGGUGGCAACAUUAUCUCCUAGACUUGUAUUUAGAGCUCCAAGCAUUUAAUGCACCGUUGUCGCUCCGUUCUCCAUUAGCUCCUACCUCUUUAACUAAAUGUAUCUGUUAUCACCAUUUUUUGAUAUCGCUGGUCCGAUGGUGUCUGCACCAUAGCUGUUAUAUUGUAGUUUGCAAGAGUCCAUGCCCAGCUACUGUAUUGAAACAAUAACAUUGCUUUCUUCGCCGGAAGUCCCGCUUCAGUCCACUUCGUCACGCCCGAGUCUCCGCUUGAUCUUCUUAAUCAUAAAGCGGUUUAAAGGGGAAAAAUGAUAUGCAUGAUGGAAAUGUUAUCAUAUUAAAUUCUUUAUACGGGAUGCGCAAUCUAUAACUAUAAAGUUGAAGUAUCUGCCUUUUUAGGUAAAGCUCUCUAGGUCUAGAUUCGUAUCAGCCCAAACUAAGCCUUUUAUUAAAUCUCCGUCUUCUUAGUGUUGCCGUCUCUUCCGUUUCACCUUACCAGAAACAAAACGUUUCCAUUAGCGUUUAUGGUAUAAAGCUUAAUACAAACAACGAUGCUCUUUUCACCACCUUAUUCCAUCUCAAUCCUGCUUUCUAGCCGCAAAUGUCAAGCCUACCAUCGCUCUCUCUCUCAGGCUUCGAGCCCUUUCAGUAUUAAAGCCAGAGACUCUCACUUCCAUUCUAGACCCUCUCAGUCAGAGCCUCGAUAGGUUCUCUCUUGCCGGAUUCGCGGUUCAAGAUUACGCUGAUUCGUAUGAGAGUAACGAAUGGUAGCAGCAACGGACGUGAUGGGUUAUCAGUAUCUGAGCUUCUGAUGUCUCCGGAGAUUUUCAAAGCUGUGAAUAAUGGAGGAAUUCAGAAACUCUUUCCUAUUCAUGUACACUCUUCUUUCUGGAAUGGGGUCAAUCAAAGUUAUUUGUUUUUUUUUAUUUAAACUCAGUAUUGAUGUCGGUUGUUUGUAUGGAAAGUUGUGCUUGAGCCAGGAUGCAAGGUGUGCUAGGAAAUGAACUAGAAAGAUUCUUGCUUUUGGAAUUCCCAUCAUUGACAGAAUCAUAAAAUUCAACUCUAAACACAGGUUUGUUAAUCCUAUGAUUGUACUUAUAUGUAUUUGAGGACUCAAAGAUUUUAGUAGGGAAUCUGAUGACGCCUUCUAGAGAUUGUGGUUUAAGAAAGCUUUGUUGAGUCUUCUACCAAUAAUAAUGCAAUUAUUUUUCAUUUAUCUCAGUCUCUCUCUGUGUAUGCGAAACUAUAAUGAAGUCUACAAGGCACAGUGAGACACAUGAUUCACUCUCCUCUGUGCCAAACUAUAUCCAGAUGUUCUAGAACUAUUCAGUUCCAUGAAACUAUGAAGAAGUCUACAAGGCACAGUUGAUUUGCUGUAGAGAAGCCUUUGACUACUUUGUAGCUCCACUCCUUUCCAGUAACAAGUAGUGUUUCGUCUGUGCAAACGGGCUCACGUUGAUUGCAUUAUUGGAUAUAUGUAAACAUGAGCUGAAGUUAAGGCAGGGAAGCCACUUAAAGUUAAACCUGAUGAAGACUGUCUCAUCCACCUUUCACAGGUUGCUUUCAAAUACCCUUAUUAACAGUUUUGAAAGAUUCUUGAUUGGUUUUCUUUAUAGUUUCUUACUUUUCCUUUUUUUAAAUAUGUGUAGGCAUGUAUUGGUAAUAGGAAGAAGGGUGAAACUGUUCUCAUGUAUGUGACUGUUAAUGGGAAGAAGCUUGUGAUUAGAACUCUUUCUCAGGAGGAGAAGAUUCCUUAGGUCAGCUUCGAUCUGGUCUUUGAGAAGGAGUUUGAACUCUCCCACUCCUUGGUGAGAGGAAGUAUCUACUUCAUUGGCUACAAAACGCCCGACCUCGAUGAAUAGGUGGAUUCCUCUUCUUCUGAGGAUUACUCUUCUUCUGACUCAGAAGAAGAGGAGGAAGUGGAGGUCCCUUCAACUGCACUGCCAAUGUAAGUGCUGGAGCUGCUGCUUCGAGUGUUGUCAAGUCUGACUCAAAGCCAAAGGUAAAAUGAGAAAGUAGUGAGCUUUGCAUUUCGUAACGAUCAACGUUGAAUGCCGCCUCUGUAAUGUAUAAAGCUAUCAUUCAAGCAGCCUAAUUAAGAAUCUGAAAAUGCUUCUAGGAUUUAAUAUCUCUUUGAGAGACGGCUUAGCUUUUUAAGAUUUUGGUAUAAGAAAGAACAAAUAAGCAAAGAUUUUUUUGUUAUUGUGAUUUCAGCCCAUGGCUCGGCUCGGUCAAAGUGUACCGGUUUAUGUUUGUUGUAAUUUGAACAUUUGUUCAGCAUAGGAAGUUUACCAUAUUCUGUUAUACAAAUAUAAUUUUUUUGGGAGUUACUCAGUUAAGAAAAAUAUUAAAAAAAUGAAAAUUAUAAUAAUAUUUUUGUUCCUUUUUUUGAACAGCAUUUUUGUUCCUACUAUUGUAUUAUUUAUUGUUAUAUUAAUGAUGAUUUAUGAGUUAUUAAAAUAUUUUUAAAAAUUUACCAAAAAUAUAAAUCAACAUUAAAUAUAAAUAUACAUGCCACAACUAAAUUUAAAUCAUGUCAUCAUAGUUAAAAUAACAUGUCAGCAUUUUCUUUUCCGAAAUCAAUAUAGUAAUGACACAUAGCAAAUCAGUUCUCAAAUAAUAUUUUGGAGAUUUAAUCCGUAAAAUGUGCUAUUUAAAGGUUACCGGUUUUCUCAGUAAAUCAUCCCAAGACUCUCUUCAUUUCAUCUGGAUAUUGGACAAGAAACAUACCAAAUGCUGAAAUCGAUGUUGCAAAAUACUAAUAUUAUCUAGGAUAUUUUGUUCUAAAUUUCUUUCUCGCAUGGCAAAGAAAAUAAUGACAUGAUUCUUACAACUCAUCUCAUGACCAUUGUAUCUUCAAUCACUGUAUUUCAAUUGUUCCUAAUUCCACCACUUUCUGAAGAAAGAUAAAAACAAAUCGAUAUAGAUACUAAUUAUAUAAUGAAAAUCCAAGGAUCAAUGCAAAAGAGAACCUAAUUUUCAAUAGCGUAAGUAAAAAUUUAUUGUUAGUAGAAAAAUGAAAACUCAAUUAUUCCAAAUUUUAAAUUAGUUGUCAAUUUAACAGUUGUUUUCAUAUGAACCUCAAUUAAAAAUAUAAGAAUAAUAAUAAAGUUUGAGUUCUAAUUCUCUUAAAUUUGAUUGACAGAAAUAGUUUAAAAUUUUAAUAUUUAUCUGAGGAUUUUUAUUUUUAUAAUCGGUACCAUCAUAUAUGUAUACACUCAAAUAAAAAUGUGCAAAAACAUAAAUUAAAUUAAAAAUUGUAAAACAACCCGGGCGUAGCCCCGGAAAAGCCCUAGUUUCUUAUAUACUUGUGUGUUCGGUAGCAACUGAGUGUGAAAACAGAUGUAAACAAUUUGUAAUUGGGUUUGAUGGAUUACAUUUCAGUCGGUUUUAUUAUUUUGAUUCAUUGUUUUAGAAAAAUUAAAUUACUACUAACAAUACGUAUGCAUAUUUGGUCUAUGUAACAAUUAUUAUUGUGGCUUGAUCUUGUGGGCUAUAGCUAGUGGUUUUCCAGUCAACCUUGUAUACUUAGUCAUUUAGAAUUCAACUCAAUUUUUUUGUAAUAACUCUAGUGACUGGAUAAAAACUAGAAAAGUGAAACUCUCUCGGACACGGAUAUCGAAAAACUCAAAAGCUUACGUUUUUCCGACGCCGGCGGAGCAAGCCGGCGUCACCCCUACUGCUCUCUAUUUUUGUCUUCCUUUGGUCCCUGGCUACUUUCUACAUCUAUUGUCGUCGGUUUCAAUCUUCACAUUCUAGAUCUGGCUUCACUGCCCGCUAAGAAGUCAACUGACGUAUUAGCUAGCUGUCGAGAGUCCACUGGAAUGGUUCUCUUAACUGGGGAUUCCCGAAAAGCAUGCUCAAUCAUCACCCUGCCGCACCAUGUCCGCCAGUCGGAGUGGUCCCUUUCUUCGCACUUCAGAUCCGCCAUCAUAGGCUGUUGCUGUACUUCAACGCCAUUGUACUUCACCUCUGUCAAAGCUCAUUUCUCAGCCGCAACAAGAACCUCAAGCUGCCGCAGCAUAUCAACUUUGUUUUAUAAACGGGACUCCGUUUCACUCCUUGGCGGCUUCAAAACCUCCAACCUUUCGAUCUUCACAGUCUCCUCUCCAUCUCGCCCCACCGCCUCUCUUUCCAGCGACGAAGUACGGCAUCUCAGAUCCGCCGCAUGCUGCCUCACGACCAUCAUGCUCAGAGUUGGAUAUGCUGACAUCAGCCCUACCCUUUCUCCUAUUUGGGCCUGGCCCAUGCUGUUUACAAAAACGGUCAGCCCACUCCUUUCCUCUUGGAUUAUUAACUCUCAGAUUAUCAAGUCCAGUGAGAGGGCUUGGUCCACAAUUUAUUUUAUGGGUUUGGAUCCAAUUAACAGUUCAUCAAUGAUUUUCGGUGGGUUCACUGAGGCUUUGAUCCGAACUAAUGUGCACACAAAGCCAUAUUUUUCUGCAUUGAAGAGAUUUUUCACCUUGUGUUUGUCGGUGGAUUCACCGUUACCAUUAUCAUCAACCUCUUCUUCCAAAGAUCGAGGAUUAUCAUCACCAGAGGCCUUCCCCUUGAGAAGUGCCGCUUUUCCUGCUUUGAAGCAGUUGAAGUUGUCCAAGUUCCUAACCGUUUUGUUAUCUUGUGGAGCGAUCCGUACGGGGUCUGAAGAUACAACGGAUUUCAUUUCGGCGAUAUUCCGAGGUGUGAAUUGGCUGCUUUUAACGUCACGAUGCAGUGUGACUAUGUUCUAUUCCGGCUUUGCCGUGAACCUUGUUUUUGACGCAUUCGAGUUUUACUCAGAAUUUGCUUUCUUUUUAUCCUAGAGGUUUCUCUAAAUUUAUCUUUUAUGAUGUAUUGUCUUAUUUUAAUGUUCGUAGAGCUAGGAUUAUCUCUUCUUCAAAGUGUAGUCCAAUUGUUUAAGUAUUAAUGAAAGUUGUGUUCCAAAAAAAAAAAGAAUUCAACUCAAAUUUUCUGCAUUGUAGAAAAAACAAACAAACAAUGCUUUUCAACUAAACAAAAAUCUGGUUAUAACAUUUGACAGAUUUGUCCAUUCAAUCCGUCCGGCUGGAACUCGAGUUUCAUAUUAUGAUCAGUUUUGUGAAACGCGUACGUAUAGCUCAUCUUCCAUGAGAAAAUGUAAAAAUAUAAUAUCAAAUUUUUUUGGAUUUAAUUUAAAAUUGUGUAUAUUUGCUGCUUAAUAUAUAAACGAAGCACUAAUAACUUAUGCUUCUUGCUUUUAUUAUCUUGAUAUUAUUGUUCCCUUUCCGUUGACAACAUACACGCAAAUAGAAACGCUUAUUUGUUGGUAUAAUGUAUAGUCACUGAGAAAAAUAUCCCCACUUGCCGUAGUCGGAACAGUGGAGAGCCUUAAUUCUUCUGUAUAGUUCUGGUGGUUGCCGCAGCAUCCCAUGCACGUGUCGCUGUAAUAUCCAAAACAAAAACACAAGUAUUACCUUAUUGAUUCAUAUAAAAUUAACAUUAAAAUGUAUGAUAAAACUCGAACCUGCACGAGAUAGACCAGAAUUAUCGUCGGCUCCAACAUGCCAAGAGAAGUAACCAAGCAAACCUCUCUGCUUAGCGUAUCUCACUUUCGUCACGAUACUCUGAUUAUCAUCGUACCCAAUCCAAGUCGUCCCUGCGUAACAGUAAUCUCCGACCACCGAGGAGUUAUAAACCGGUGUUGCUCCGUUAUCCACUAUAAACUUCCUUAUCAGACCGUAUCUGAUCGAACCGUCCUCUGGUAUAGCCGCUCCGCUUAUAGUCACAGCCGCUCCGGUUGUAGCCGCGUAAUAGCUGUGACUGUUGGCGUUUGAGAGGCCCCAUGCGUAGCCGUAGUAUGGAAAUCCCAAGACUGCUUUCUUCGCAGGGAGGCCAGCUUGUGUCCAUGAUCUCACUCCAGCGUCGCCGCUUGGACCUAUGAUUAACCGGUUUAUUCUUCAAAUGAAGUAGGAUUUAUUCAUAUUUCAGGUUCUAACAUUGUUACAUUGGUAUGUUUGAUUUUUAACCAAGUGAUAGUAACCUAGUGGUAAAGUUGAACUUGGGAAGCACGUAACAUAACUUCUAUUUGGCCACGUUAAAAUAGAGCUAUGCUUUAUGCUUCAUCAACCGGUUUAGUAUAUAAGCGGGGAGUUACCGGUUUAUUCAUAUUUCCGGUUCUAACAUUGGUUUGUUUUCUUUCCAUUUUUAGGAUUGAUCAUCUAUAACCGAAGUUAAACCGAAGAUUUAAGGACUUAAUCCGUAGUAUGUUUUCACACUCAACAAACCAAAAUUAAUGCAAGUGAACUAAGCAUAACCUAAAAACUAAAAUUCAUAUUAUAAACCAAUUUUUCAAAGUAAUUUUAUAUUAUAAAUAGGUUGACAUACCCUAAUACAAUACCAAUUAUAUUCCUUUAUUUACAAUUUUUCAAAUAAUUAUUAAUGUAUGUUUCAAUUUAUUAGAUUAGGUUGGUUAUUGAAGUACCUGCGUUUGAAGGGUCAUACAAAGCGGCAGGUGGACCGGUUACUUUAGACCAACCCGGUCCAUAAAAAUCAUAGGCCAUAAGAUUAACCCAAUCCAGACUGUCGGCAACGGCUUGAACCGGGUACAGUACCGAAUAGUAGUUGUUGGAGUAGAAAACCGCAGCCGCCAAAAGCAAACGCUGUCUACCACUGCUACUAGCUUCUGCUACAACCGCUGAUCGCCAUUCUCGAAGCAGCGUCCCGAAGUUGCUCAUCUCCGUAGCACUGCUCGGAUACUCCCAGUCUAGGUCAAGACCGUGGAAGCCGUUCGAUCUCGCAAGUCUUAUCGAAGAAUCAAUGAACGAUUUUCUAGAAGUGGGGUUACUUGCCAUGGACGCAAACGCGGUUUUACUAGCGUUUCCACCGCCGAUGGACAAAAGGGUUUUCACAGAAGGGUUUCGCCGUUGUACGGUUUGAGUGAAAGUGGAGAAAUUCUGCUGGCUCGCGGAGGCGAUGGUGACUUGAUUGGUUUGAGCGUUGAGGUCAGCAAAGGCGCAGAAGAGGUGAGUGAAGAGAGAUGAGUCAAUGUCGGUGACGGGAUACUCACUCCCUGGGAACCAGUAUGAAGCUUUGACGACGGACUGGGCGGAGGAUGAACUGAGGAGGAGAGAGAAGAAGAAAGUGAUGGAGACAAGGAGUGAUAUGGGUUUUGUGGAAGACAUUGUUGAGUUUCUGUGGGAGACAUAGUAAUGGGGUUUGUUGUGUAUUUAUUGAGAAAUUUUACUCCGUUAAAAUCUCACGAAAGCGAAAAGUCUUGGGACGAGAUUUGCGUUUGUAAUUUUCCACACACAAGUGUCAUAUGCAUGCGAAAGCUUGGACCAAGCGACAUAUAAUCAGCGUCAUUUACGUCGAAGUUGAAUAGUCCACUCUCACGUAUCCUGUAGAAUAAUCAAAGCCUUACGGAAGAUUUUGUUUAAAAUUAAUUUGAUUGUUGUAUGGUAUGAUUUCGUGUGACGCAAGAAAUCGGUAAAUACUAUAAAUGGUAGUGUGACUCAUCGGCUAAGGCAUCUAGUGCUGACAAGAUCGAUUUUGAAUACUAGGGUUCCAAGAGGAGUACGUUCUCCAUUCUCCAGACGUGUUGGAUUAAAGUCGAUGGUCGUGAAGAGUUACUGUCCGUCGAGAACUGCAAAACACACACAUACACAAGAAAGAAACAAAGGUUCUUGAAACCAAUCAAUGUUGAUAAUAUGUUUUCUGCAAUAUCACAAGUCUUGAAUACAAGAUAGUUCCAGACAGAUUUACAAGUGUAUUGUAUAUCAUAAAGGUUUGAAAUCUGCUGAAUGAUAAUUGUAUAGAUUUUUCCGAGAAGCUAGCUUGAGAGUGAGGGGAAUUACUGGGUCAUACGUGAUAAUAACUAGCCCCACAUAGACAUAACUAAUCAAUAUAAGUUCUAACAAUAUAAUACAUCUGGCAUAUCACAUGGAUCUCUUGAUAAGUUUAAAAUUGUAAACUGGUUAAUUUCAACCUGAACUGAAGUAAAUAAAUAAACACAGAAUCAAUGAGCGACGUGUAGAAUCAAAGGAGACAAGAUACUACGCAUAGAAGGCAUUUGCAGGUAACGGUUCUCCCACAUUUUGAUUCUUGAGUUGCCAUCUGGUGCUGAAUCUGAUGGCCUCACUACGAGAAAACAGCAAGGAUACUGAGAUAAAAAAUUGUCGGAAUUUCGUCGGAAUAACGUUAUUCCGACGACCUACCGACGAAACAAGUCCUCGGAAAUAAUUCCUCGGAAUUUCUUCUUUCCUCGGAAAUCCCUCGGAAUUUUCCGACGGAAUUCCGAGGAAACAAAUUUCCGAGGAAACAAAUUUCCGAGGAAAUUCCGAGGAUCACUAGUUUGUCGGAAAUCUCCUCGGAAUAUAACGAGGGAGAACUUCGUCGGGAUAUUUCCUCGGAAGUUCAUCGAUCGAUGCGUUUUUGGACAUAUAUCCAUCGAUCGAACCGUUUAUAAAAAAACGUUCGGAAUAUACCGAGGGACAUGUUCCUCGGAAUAUACCGAGGGACAUGUUCCUCGGAAUAUUCCUAGGAACAUGUCCCUUGGUAUAUUCCGAGGAAGGUGUCCCUCGGUAUAUUCCGAACGUUUUUUUAUAAACAGAUCGAUCGAUGGAUAUAUGUCCAAAAACGCAUCGAUCGAUCGACUAAAAAAUAUAAUUAAUUUCCUCGGAAUGUAAAAAAUAUUAAUUUUUUUAAAAAAAUAAAAUUUUUGAAAUUUAAAUUCGAAAAUAUAAAAUUAAAAUUAAAAUUGAAAUCAUAUUAAUUAAUAUUCAAAGUUUCACAAAUAAAAAUAAAACAUUCCGAGUUUUUGGAAAAAAAAAAAACUACGGGUCUGGCACGUCCGGGAACACCUCGUUCGGGUACAUCCUCUGCAUCAUCUCCAUCAUUUGCUGGUUCAGCCUCCUCUGUGCCUCAUAGCCCGCCUGUUGAGCCGCCAUCUGGGUCUCCAACAAAGAUAUGCGAUCAUCCUUGUCCUUCAACUGAGCCGUAAGUACUUCUGGAUCAACAAAGGGCGGUGGUGCAGAAGAAGGAGGAACCGACCGGGUGCGACGACCCAAACCGACCAAACGUCCCUUCUUCUUUGGAACCGACUGAAUAGAAAAUAGCCAAAUUUACAAAUUUAAACCAAGAAAUAAAUGAAUUGAACUUUAAAAAAAAAGAACUUACGGAUUCAACGAUUUCGUUGAUUCGAAACCGGGACAAGUUGGUCGAAGCCGUCGAAGCGUCAUCCUCGGUUUGAAGCUGAGACACUUCGUCUACCACCUGAGUUUGGACCAGGUCGACCACGUCCCUCACAAGACCGUCAUCAAUCUGGCCGGUCUUCUUGUUGGUAUACGCCCUCCUCAUUAGGGCGAGAUCAUCAACCGGCUCGCCAUCAUUUUCUUCCGCCUUGAAAAAAAACAUAAAUUAAAGAAACAUUAGAAAUUAGAAGAAAUGCACAAUAAAUUAAAAUUCUGAAACUCAAAUAAUUGAAGAAAAAGCGGUUGAACUUACCAUGCGAUCUCCCAGAGUGGCAAUAGAUUGAGCACCCAAGUUAUGCUUGUAGAUGCCCUUCCCUUUACGGUCGCUCCUGCGGUUGGUGGAGUUGGUGGAAGAAGUUUCUUUCGUCUCUUCCUUAUCCCAAUGCGCACACAACUCCUUCCAGACCGUGUCGUUCAUCGACUUUGAGACAUUUUAAUAAUAAAAAAAAGGAAAAUAGUUUAAUAAAUAAAAAAAUAGUUUAAUAAAUUAAAAAAAAUUGUUUAAUAAAUUAAAUGAUUUGUUUAAUAAAUUAAAAAAUUGUUUAUAUUAAAAAAUUGUUUAAUAGUUUAAUAAAUUAAAAAAUUGUUUAAUAGUUUAAUAAAUUAAAAAAUUGUUUAAUAAUAAAACCUUGUUGAUUUCCCACUUCUUCUUCCACUCGUGGAUUUGCUUCCCAUAGUUGUCCAUAACUUUAUGGACGAAGUGGUGAUAGAUAAAGAACGUCUCAUCGGAAUUCCAGUUGAAUUCUUGCUGGAAAAAAAAACACAAUUAGCAGAAAAUUUAUAUUAAAGAUUAAAAAUAUAAGUAAAAACUUAGAAUACUUACCGCAAACUGACGAAACCACAGAUGCUGCUUGUCGGUAGGGAAGUGAGUGAAAGUCGGAUGUCCCUUGUCGAGGGCCGAGUACAUCAUACGGUUGAUUCAUGCCCUUAUCCCGUUCCCGGAUCGGUUGAACCUAAUAAAAAGAACAAACGCUUAAUAAUGAAUCAAAUUUUAAUGAAAAAAAAUAUGUUUAAUUACCAUGUUUGACCCCGUCCAUGUGGAUACGGAGUGAGAUACGGAAGAUGGUCACGACCGGGCUGUUGAACCAACUCCGCAACACUCAUCACUCCCGGAGGACCCGGAGGAACAGGAGCGGAUGCAGCAGCGGGAGCGAGAGGAGCAGGAGCGGGUGCAGCAGAGGGAGAUGUAUGGUUGGAGCUGUGGGGCGAAGGGGAAUCCUGAAAAUGGCUGGAAUCCCGAGACUGGCUCCCCGUACCACCACGACCACGACGCUGUCGAGGCCGGGUCUGAUCAUCAUGAGACCUGUAAAUUAAAAAAAAAAUAUUUAAUAAAUACAGAAAUAUAUAAAUUAAUUUUUUUUAUUAAAAAAAAUCCCAAAUAAUUUAAUCACAGAAAAAGAUUUAUAUAUAUUAAAUUUUUUUAAUAAAUAUAUAAAAAUAGUUCUAAUAAACAAAAAUAGUUUUAAUAAAUAAAAAUUGUUUAAUAAUUAAAAUGUUUUGUAAAAUCCAAAAAAUCGAAUUUAUAUAGAAAUUUUUUUUUGUAAAAUCCAAAAAAUCGAAUUUAUAUAGAAAAAUCGUUUUGUAAAAUACAAAAAUCGAUUUUAUAUACAAAAAUUGAUUUUAUAAAUACAAAAAAUAAAAAAAUUAUAAAAAAAUUCUAAAUCAAUUCAACAAAACAAAUUAUUCAACCAAAUCACAAUUCUAAACCUAUUAUACAACCAAAUCACAAUCCUAACCAAUCACCCUAACAAAAAUCUAUCAAAACUACACAAAAACCUAACAAAUAGAACCUAAGAGAGUGGGAUAGGGUCCUUACAUGAUUUGUGUAAGAGAAGAGGGAGAUCGCCGGAGAUAUCGUCGGAUUUCAGGGGGAAAUCGCCGGAGAGAAAGAGAGGAGUCGCGCAGAGGAAGAAGAGAGAAAUGGGGAAGAAGAAGGGGCUCGUGGUUAUAAAACCUAGGGUCCGACGGACAUUAUCCGUCGGAAUUCCGUCGGAAUUCUAAUUUCAAUUUUCGCGAAAUAUUUGCCCGGUAAAAUGAAAAUAUUCCGAGGAAAUUCCGACAGAUAGUAAAAUAUCCGUCGGAAUUUCUUCGGAAUAUUCCGAGGAAAUACCGAGGAACUAGUGUUUGGGGUUUCAAAACAUCAAUUUUUUUUGCCGUAUUUCAUUUCUUAUACAAUUGUAAUGCAUACCAUUGAGGAUUCUUUGUAUACAUGAGCAUAAACCAUGAAAUAACAAAUUUCAAAACUAAUUGAAAGUAUUCCCUUUACCGUUCGUUAAAAGGUAUAAGUGUUUCUCUUAUGUUGCGAGAUUUCGUUCAUACAAUCGGAAAAGUGUUAAUUAUACGGUAAGGAACAAAUUUUUGACUUCAUAAUGAACGUAAGACACUUAAUAAGGGUUAUAUAGGUGUUAUUCAAACCGCAAAACGUUGUUUUCGGUUUAAAAACCCUAUUUCCUCGGAAUUUCCUCGGAUUAUUCCGAGGGAAUUCCGAGGAAACCUUUUUCCUCCUCGGAAUUUCCUCGGAAUAUUCCGAUGAAACAGGGUUUGGGGUAACAAUGUGAUCGAUCGAGAACAAAAUCUCGUACGUUUUUUUAUAAACGGAUCGAUCGAUGUAUAUAUAUCCAAAAACGCAUCGAUCGAUCACUAAGAUGGACCAAAGCGUAACAAUGUGAUCGAUCGAUUAGAUUAUCCCAUCGAUCGAUCGAGAAUCUCAAGCGUUCCUCGGAAUGUCCUCGGAAAAUCUUGUAAGUUUUUUUAUAAACGGAUCGAUCGAUGGAUAUAUGUCCGAAAACGCAUCGAUCGAUCACUAAGAUGGACCAAAGCGUAACAAUGUGAUCGAUCGAUUAGAUUAUCCCAUCGAUCGAUCGAGAAUCUCAAGCGUUCCUCGGAAUGUCCUCGGAAAAUCUUGUAAGUUUUUUUAUAAACGGAUCGAUCGAUGGAUAUAUGUCCGAAAACGCAUCGAUCGAUCACUAAGAUGGACCAAAGCGUAACAAUGUGAUCGAUCGAUUAGAUUAUCCCAUCGAUCGAUCGAGAAUCUCAAGCGUUCCUCGGAAUGUCCUCGGAAAAUCUUGUAAGUUUUUUUAUAAAUGGAUCGAUCGAUGGAUAUAUGUCCGAAAACGCAUCGAUCGAUCACUAAGAUGGACCAAAGCGUAACAAUGUGAUCAAUCGAUUAGAUUAUCCCAUCGAUCGAUCGAGAAUAUCAAGUGUUCCUCGGAAUUCCGUCGGAAUUUUGUAAAAUCCCCCAACGGCUCUCCCACGGCUAUAAUAUUUCCUCGGAAUUCAUCAGUUUUUUCCGAAGAACACAUGUUUCCUCGGAAUUUCCUCGGAAUAUUCCGACAGAUUGAUAUUUCCUCGGAAUUCCGUCGGUAUAUUCCGAGGAAACCAAAUUUUGUGUUUCCUCGGAAAUUCCUUGGGAUAUUACGAGGAUUUCAUUUUCCGUCGGAAUGUCCGUCAGAAUACCGCUGUUUUCUUGUAGUGGGCCUGUCUUUGUGUUUUUGUUCUAGUGAAACUUUGAGUUAUCUAUUCAACAACUUUGUUGGAGAUCGAAGUUUCAGCGAGGUUGUGGCUGAAGCAAAGAAAGCAGGUUUCACUGAGCCUGAUCCAAAUGAUGAUUUAUCUGGAACUGAUGUUGCAAGAAAGAUAAAUAGAGUAGCAUCAAACAAUUGUUGCAGCAAAGUUAACUUAUGAUAGUCACUCAUGGAAUCAAUAAUCUUUCUGUUGUGCAGGUGAUUAUUCUCGCUCGAGAAUCUGGACUUAAAUUGGACCUCUCUGAUCUUCCCAUUAGAAGUCUCGUCCCAGAACCUCUAAAAGUAAACCAUCAUCUUAUAUAUCUCAUUAACAUCAAAAUCAGUUGAGAAAUCAAUAUCCGUAUUCUUAUGUUAUUCUCAAUCUACUUUCAGGGAGGCACUUCUGCUGAAGAAUUCAUGGAGAAACUCCCACAGUACGACGGAGACCUGGCAAAAGAAAGGCUAGAAGCUGAGAACUCCGGGGAAGUAAGAUCAUUCACCAUAAAUUUCCAGUGAUCUUAAACCGGCUAAUUAGCAUGUCCUUGGAUCAAUUUGACCAUAUCAACUAUAUAUAUGUAAACUCUUGAUUCAGGUCCUGAGAUACGUUGGAGUGGUGGACACAGUAAACCAAAAGGGAACAGUGGAGCUACGAAGAUACAAGAAAGAUCAUCCAUUUGCACAGAUGGCAGGUUCAGACAAUAUAAUAGCAUUCACAACGACAAGAUACAAGGAUCAUCCAUUGAUUGUCCGAGGACCUGGUGCUGGUGCUCAAGUCACGGCCGGUGGUAUAUUCAGCGACAUGUUAAGGCUCGCAUCGUAUCUAGUUGCACCGUCUUAACAGGUUACGAUGAUCAGUUUUGCUUAUCUCCGUAUUAAAAUUAUCAGCUACGAUUCUACGGAUCAACAACAUUUUGCUUGGUCAUUUCUUGACUUAUUCGUAGCUGAUCUUUGUUGUUUUUGUGGUAAACAUGU